GGGAAUAUUGGACAAUGGGGGCAACCCUGAUCCAGCCAUGCCGCGUGAGUGAUGAAGGCCUUAGGGUUGUAAAGCUCUUUUAUCCGGGACGAUAAUGACGGUACCGGAGGAAUAAGCCCCGGCUAACUUCGUGCCAGCAGCCGCGGUAAUACGAAGGGGGCUAGCGUUGCUCGGAAUCACUGGGCGUAAAGGGCGCGUAGGCGGCGUUUUAAGUCGGGGGUGAAAGCCUGUGGCUCAACCACAGAAUUGCCUUCGAUACUGGGACGCUUGAGUCUGGUAGAGGUUGGUGGAACUGCGAGUGUAGAGGUGAAAUUCGUAGAUAUUCGCAAGAACACCGGUGGCGAAGGCGGCCAACUGGACCAGUACUGACGCUGAGGCGCGAAAGCGUGGGGAGCAAACAGA
rnacentral:rRNA from 1 species